rnacentral:lncRNA from 1 species
CUUUUCAUUCCCGUUGUUAUGGAGGGCCACAUCUGCCAGAGCCUGGAGUCUGCGAAGGCCGGGACCCGGUUCCCCGGCCCACAGUGGGGGUGUGCAAACCCGAGAGAACUGGGUUGCAAAUUCGUGAAGAAUCAGCAUCAUGUUUGGCAGCUGAGUAUUGGAGCCAGGAGCCUGCCAUGAGGCAGAACCGGGUGGAACUGCAUGAGAAGCGACGGAGGCGCCAGCCCCAGCCAGCUCCCUGUGGCUCCUGGCACCAAUCAGGCCUCGAGGCUUCCUCAACACCAGCUUUCCUUCCCCUCCCAUUGGGCCCUGCAUCCCUGCCUUCUGCAACAUUGUGCUCCUGACCCUGGCUGGCUCCCAGCCCUCCACAGCUGGGCCCCACCUCAGAGCCUUUGCAUCAGGUAGCCCCAGAGUCAGAGAGAAGGCCCCCGACAAAGCCGCAGAUGGAGCUCAGCCCCAGGAAACACCUUUCCAGAGCAAGGCUCCAGCUCACUGUAGGACCACAGUCAAGUCUGUAUCCAGGCCGAGCGACAGCCGAUGCAGCCUCAGUGUUCCUUUGCCUUGGGGGUUUCUGAGUGGUGGGGUUGUAAGCAGAUCCUGCCAGGCACCCAGAAGGAAACCUCAUCAGGACUCCCUCAGAAAGGCCCUGAAGAAUCCUGUGACCUUCAUCUAAAGUAGGUCAUGAGACCCCUGAGCUUAAAACGGAGUGAUCGGCUUUGGAGAAGUAAGGAGACAUGACGUGCCUGCCCUGGGGUGGGGACUAAACUUCGUGCCACUCCACGUGAAAGGGGGAGGCAUGACUCCACAGUUUCUGCAACAACAGAGCCGGGGAAAGGAGGACGC